UCGAGAAUAAUUCGCAAUGGACGAAAGUCUGACGAUGCGACGCCGCAUGAACGAUGAAGGCCUUCGGGUUGUAACGUUCUGUUGCCCUAGAACAAGAGUGACUGACGAAUAGGUGGUCACGAUGAGGGUAUAGGGAGAGGAAGCACCGGCUAAUUCCGUGCCAGCAGCUGCGGUAAUACGGAGGGUGCAAGCGUUAUUCGGAUUUAUUGGGCGUAAAGGGCGCGUAGGCGGCUUAUCAGGUCGGAUGUGAAAGCCCGCAGCUUAACUGCGGAAGUGCAUCCGAAACCGGCAGGCUUGAGUAUGGGAGAGGGAAACGGAACUCCCGGUGUAGCGGUGAAAUGCGUAGAUAUCGGGAGGAACACCUGUGGCGAAAGCGGUUUCCCGGACCAAUACUGACGCUGAUGCGCGAAGGCGCGGGGAUCAAACA
rnacentral:rRNA from 1 species